rnacentral:rRNA from 1 species
UGGGGAAUAUUGGACAAUGGGCGAAAGCCUGAUCCAGCCAUGCCGCGUGUGUGAAGAAGGUCUUCGGAUUGUAAAGCACUUUAAGUUGGGAGGAAGGGCAUUAACCUAAUACGUUAAUGUUUUGACGUUACCGACAGAAUAAGCACCGGCUAACUCUGUGCCAGCAGCCGCGGUAAUACAGAGGGUGCAAGCGUUAAUCGGAAUUACUGGGCGUAAAGCGCGCGUAGGUGGUUUGUUAAGUUGGAUGUGAAAUCCCCGGGCUCAACCUGGGAACUGCAUUCAAAACUGACUGACUAGAGUAUGGUAGAGGGUGGUGGAAUUUCCUGUGUAGCGGUGAAAUGUGUAGAUAUAGGAAGGAACACCAGUGGCGAAGGCGACCACCUGGACUAAUACUGACACUGAGGUGCGAAAGCGUGGGGAGCAAACA